GGGCCCGCACAAGCGGUGGAGUAUGUGGUUUAAUUCGAUGCAACGCGAAGAACCUUACCAGGGUUUGACAUCCUGCGAAUCUCUUGGAAACGAGAGAGUGCCUUCGGGAACGCAGUGACAGGUGGUGCAUGGCUGUCGUCAGCUCGUGUCGUGAGAUGUUGGGUUAAGUCCCGCAACGAGCGCAACCCACGUCUUUAGUUGCCAGCAUUUAGUUGGGCACUCUAGAGAGACUGCCGGUGAUAAACCGGAGGAAGGUGUGGAUGACGUCAAGUCAUCAUGCCCCUUAUGUCUAGGGCUGCACGCAUGCUACAAUGGCCGGUACAGAGGGCAGCGAAACCGCGAGGUGGAGCGAA
rnacentral:rRNA from 1 species